rnacentral:Y_RNA from 1 species
GGCUGGUCCGAGUACAGUGGUGUUUACAACUAAUUAAUUACAACCAGUUACAGUAUGGUUUUUUUUAUCCCUUUGCUUUUUCUCCACUCCCACUGCUUCACUUGACUAGACUUAA